rnacentral:rRNA from 1 species
AUGAAGCACGAACAAACUACAGCCUGCCGAACUCUUCAAAUACACAACAUCCACAGCCUGCCGAACUCUCCAAAUACACAACAUCCACAAAACCCCACAAUCACACGGGCGGCCUACCAAACUCUCCAAAUACAACAUCCACAAAAACAAAUACAACAUCCACAAAAACCAACAGGACGGCCUACCAAACUCUCCAAAUACAACAAAAACCAACAGGGCGGCCUACCAAACUCUCCAAAUACAACAUCCACAAAACCCAACAACCGUACAAGCGGCCUGCCAAACUCUCCAAAAAACAUUCACAAAACCUUACAACCUGCUGCCUGCCAAACUCUUCAAAUACACAACAUCCACAAAUCAAACUCUUCAAAUACACAACAUUCACUCUUCAAAUACACAACAUCCACAAACCCUUCAACUUCAACUGUCAAACUCCCUAAAAAACAUUCACAAAACCUUACGACCACACAUGCGGCCUGCCAAACUCUUCAAAUACACAACAUCCACAAAUCAAAACAUCCACAAAUCAAACUCUUCAAAUACACAACAUCCACAAACCCUUCAACUGUUACUACGCCAAGUGACUCCUCACGAGGACACCUCGACAUAAGACAUAAGCACCUCCCAACCCACAAACCCCUUCACUAA